AUUGAACGCUGGCGGCAUGCUUUACACAUGCAAGUCGAACGGUAACAGGCCUUCGGGUGCUGACGAGUGGCGAACGGGUGAGUAAUGCAUCGGAACGUACCCAGAGGUGGGGGAUAACGCAGCGAAAGCUGUGCUAAUACCGCAUGUGAUCUGAGGAUGAAAGCGGGGGACCGAGCAGCAAUGUUUGGCCUCGCGCCUUUGGAGCGGCCGAUGUCGGAUUAGCUAGUUGGUGGGGUAAAGGCCUACCAAGGCGACGAUCCGUAGCUGGUCUGAGAGGACGACCGGCCACACUGGAACUGAGACAGGGCCCAGACUCCUACGGGAGGCAGCAGUGGGGAAUUUUGCGCAAUGGGCGAAAGCCUGACCGAGCAACGCCGCGGGGGGGAAGAAGGCCUUCGGUUCGUAAACCUCUUUUGGCAGGAAAGAAAGGGUGUCCAAGAAACUAGGCACGUAAUGACGGUACCUAAAGAGAAAGCCACGGCUAACUAGGUG
rnacentral:rRNA from 1 species